UACAGAGGAGCCAAGCGUUGUCCGGAUUGACUGGGCGUAAAGCGCACGCAGGCGGGUGCGCGCGGGGAGGGGGAAAUCUGGCCGCUUAACGGCCAGGCGCCAUCCCAUACGGCGCGCCUGGAGCCUUGCAGAGGUCGGUGGAAUUGCCGGUGUAGUGGUGAAAUGCGUAGAGAUCGGGAGGAACACCCGUGGCGAAGGCGGCCAGCUGGGCCGGACCUGACGCUGAGGCGCGAAGGCGUGGGGAGCGAACGGG
rnacentral:rRNA from 1 species